rnacentral:rRNA from 1 species
GACGGAGGGUGCUAGCGUUGUUCGGAAUUACUGGGCGUAAAGGGCGCGUAGGCGGCCUGGUCAGUCGGGUGUGAAAGCCCGGGGCUCAACCCCGGAACGGCACCCGAGACGGCCAGGCUGGAGACCGGGAGAGGAGGGUGGAAUAGCCAGUGUAGAGGUGAAAUUCGUAGAUAUUGGCUGGAACACCGGUGGCGAAAGCGGCUCUCUGGCCCGGUUCUGACGCUGAGGCGCGAAAGCGUGGGGAGCGAACGGG